rnacentral:rRNA from 1 species
CUUGAGAGAACUCGGGUGAAGGAACUAGGCAAAAUGGUACCGUAACUUCGGGAGAAGGUACGCCCUUUCUGGUGAUGGGAUUUACUUUCAGAGCUGGAGAGGGCCGCAGAGACCAGGUGGCUGCGACUGUUUAUUAAAAACACAGCACUCUGCAAAUUCGUAAGAAGACGUAUAGGGUGUGACGCCUGCCCGGUGCCGGAAGGUUAAUUGAUGGGGUUAUCUUCGGAGAAGCUCUUGAUCGAAGCCCCGGUAAACGGCGGCCGUAACUAUAACGGUCCUAAGGUAGCGAAAUUCCUUGUCGGGUAAGUUCCGACCUGCACGAAUGGCGUAACGAUGGCCACACUGUCUCCACCCGAGACUCAGUGAAAUUGAAAUCGCUGUGAAGAUGCAGUGUACCCGCGGCUAGACGGAAAGACCCCGUGAACCUUUACUAUAGUUUUGCACUGGACUUUGAUGAUGACUGUGUAGGAUAGGUGGGAGGCUGUGAAGUGAGGACGCUAGUUCUCAUGGAGCCGCCCUUGAAAUACCACCCUGUUGUUAUUGAGGUUCUAACUUGGUCCAGUAAUCCUGGAUGAGGACAGUGUAUGAUGGGUAGUUUGACUGGGGCGGUCUCCUCCCAAAGAGUAACGGAGGAGCACAAAGGUACCCUCGGUACGGUCGGACAUCGUACCAAGAGUGUAAAGGCAAAAGGGUGCUUGACUGCGAGAGUGACGGCUCGAGCAGGAACGAAAGUUGGUCUUAGUGAUCCGGUGGUUCUGAAUGGAAGGGCCAUCGCUCAACGGAUAAAAGGUACUCCGGGGAUAACAGGCUGAUACCGCCCAAGAGUUCAUAUCGACGGCGGUGUUUGGCACCUCGAUGUCGGCUCAUCACAUCCUGGGGCUGAAGCAGGUCCCAAGGGUAUGGCUGUUCGCCAUUUAAAGUGGUACGCGAGCUGGGUUUAGAACGUCGUGAGACAGUUCGGUCCCUAUCUGCCGUGGGCGUAGGAAAAUUGAGAGGAGCUGCUCCUAGUACGAGAGGACCGGAGUGGACGAACCUCUGGUGCACCGGUUGUCACGCCAGUGGCAUGGCCGGGUAGCUAAGUUCGGACGGGAUAACCGCUGAAAGCAUCUAAGCGGGAAGCCUCCCUCAAGAUGAGUUUUCCCAUGAAGCCCGUUGAAGACUACGACGUUGAUAGGCAAGGUGUGGAAGCGCAGUAAUGCGUGAAGCUAACUUGUACUAAUUGGCUGAUUGUCUUGACCAUA